UACGUAGGGUGCGAGCGUUAAUCGGAAUUACUGGGCGUAAAGCGUGCGCAGGCGGUUUGUUAAGACAGAUGUGAAAUCCCCCGGGCUUAACCUGGGAACUGCAUUUGUGACUGGCAAGCUAGAGUAUGGCAGAGGGGGGUAGAAUUCCACGUGUAGCAGUGAAAUGCGUAGAGAUGUGGAGGAAUACCGAUGGCGAAGGCAGCCCCCUGGGCCAAUACUGACGCUCAUGCACGAAAGCGUGGGGAGCAAACAGG
rnacentral:rRNA from 1 species